UUGCUGCUGCUGCUGUUGCUGUUGUGCUGGGUUUGAUGGUUGCAUCAUAUUCAUAGGGCUUGAAGAUGGCUUGAACAGCUUAUUCACAUCAAAGACACCACCUCCUUGAUUUGGAGGAUUACCAGGUGAAGCCAUUAAUCAAUAACAGCAACAAAAAGUGAUCUACGAAUUCAGAUUAAUUAGAUUGACUAUGAGCGUAAAAGGAGAUUUGAAGCUUACGCAUAAGAAUUCAUGGAUCCGCUGAUUUUGAUUCGUUUCAGAUCAGAAAAUAGAGAUUCGAUUUGAUUAUUGGAUUCGUCCUUGAAAUGAAUAGCAACUGUAUCCGUCUCUGCGAAAGACGAGUGAAAAAAUUGAACCAAGGAGUUGAGAGGUAGAAAAUUUAUUUGAAAAAAAGAAAUAUGUAUGCAUGUAGAAAAUGGGUUCCUCAGAUGGACAAACUAACGGCGACGGACAACACAAAGACGAAGCUAACGGAGAGUAGAAAGUGGAAGAAGAAGAAGAAGAAAACUUUUAUUAAAGAUUUUAUUAAUUAUUAUAUAAUAAUAUAUCUAAUACAUUACUAUUUGCUUUUCUCGUCGUCUUCUUUGUUUGGGUCACUUCCAGAGGCAGACAUGCAUCGCUACUCCCAGCUGUAGCUGCUACACGUACCCCAAGUUUGCAUCUUUGACAUUUGUGGGUAACGGCAUAAUCAGCUUUUCAAUGUCGAUUCAUUCUCUUUGGUAGCAGCAAAGGAAAUCAAUCCAACGCUACAGGAGUUUGGAGGAAGCAUUUCAAUAGCAGAAGACAAGACAGCCACAUUUCAGCUCUAAUUGAUUUCCUACUAAACCAAAUUGGCAUUGAUCCUACCAUUACUGUUUAG
rnacentral:misc_RNA from 1 species